AUUGAACGCUGGCGGCAUGCCUUACACAUGCAAGUCGAACGGUAACAGGUUAAGCUGACGAGUGGCGAACGGGUGAGUAAUGUAUCGGAACAUGCCCAGUCGUGGGGGAUAACUGCUCGAAAGAGCAGCUAAUACCGCAUACGACCUGAGGGUGAAAGCGGGGGAUCGCAAGACCUCGCGCGAUUGGAGCGGCCGAUAUCAGAUUAGGUAGUUGGUGGGGUAAAGGCCUACCAAGCCUACGAUCUGUAGCUGGUCUGAGAGGACGACCAGCCACACUGGGACUGAGACACGGCCCAGACUCCUACGGGAGGCAGCAGUGGGGAAUUUUGGACAAUGGACGCAAGUCUGAUCCAGCCAUGCCGCGUGCGGGAAGAAGGCCUUCGGGUUGUAAACCGCUUUUGUCAGGGAAGAAAAGGUUCUGGUUAAUACCUGGGACUCAUGACGGUACCUGAAGAAUAAGCACCGGCUAACUACGUGCCAGCCGCCGCAGUAAAAC
rnacentral:rRNA from 1 species